rnacentral:rRNA from 1 species
AUUGAACGCUGGCGGCAUGCCUUACACAUGCAAGUCGAACGGUAACAGGUUAAGCUGACGAGUGGCGAACGGGUGAGUAAUACAUCGGAACGUGCCCAGUAGUGGGGGAUAGCCCGGCGAAAGCCGGAUUAAUACCGCAUACGACCUACGGGUGAAAGGGGGGGAUCGCAAGACCUCUCGCGAUUGGAGCGGCCGAUGUCAGAUUAGGUAGGUGGUGGGGUAAAGGCCGACCAAGCCGACGAUCGGUAGCUGGUCUGGGCCGGCGACCAGGCGCACUGGGCCUGGAACACGGACCGGACGCCUGCGGGAGGCAGCAGUGGGGAAUUUUGGACGAUGGGCGCAAGCCUGAUCCAGCCAUGCCGCGUGCGGGAAGAAGGCCUUCGGGUUGUAAACCGCUUUUGUCAGGGAAGAAAUCCUUUGGGCUAAUACCUCGGGGGGAUGACGGUACCGUAAGAAUAAGCACCGGCUAACUACGUGCCAGCCGCCGCAGUAAUAC